rnacentral:rRNA from 1 species
UACGGAGGGUGCAAACGUUGCUCGGAAUCAUUGGGCGUAAAGCGCACGUAGGCGGCCCGCUAAGUCGGAUGUGAAAUCCCUCGGCUCAACCGAGGACGUGCAUUCGAAACUGGCAGGCUUGAAUAUGGAAGAGGGUCGCGGAAUUCCCGGUGUAGAGGUGAAAUUCGUAGAUAUCUGGAGGAACACCGGUGGCGAAGGCGGCAUCCUGGACCAAUUCUGACGCUGAGGAGCGAAAGCCAGGGGAGCAAACGGG